AAUCAGUCAAAGUUAAAGAACGGUUUAGUUUGCAGUACCAAAAGCUGCCUCGCCACCUCCCUCCCCUUCUACUCUUUGCAUCACAUAAAGAAUAGGAGAUCCCGGAAGUGCCGAUCUAAAAGGCAACAGCAGCAGCACCGCCACCCUCCACCUUAAAGCAAGAUCUGGUAUCUUGAGCUCAGGAGGAGUAUGGGGAGGGGAAAGAUCGCGAUCCGCAGGAUCGAUAACUCCACUAGCCGGCAGGUGACCUUCUCGAAGAGGAGAAAGGGUUUACUGAAGAAGGCCAAAGAGCUCGCCAUCCUUUGUGAUGCGGAGGUCGGCGUUGUGGUCUUCUCCGCCACCGGCCGAGUCUAUGAUUACGCCAGCACCAGCAUGAAGUCUGUGAUGGAAAGAUACACUAGAGCAAAGGGGGAGCAUCAUCUGGUUAUGAACCCGAGUUCAGAAACUAUGUUCUGGCAAAGGGAGGCAACAAGCUUGAGGCAGCGACUGCAUAAAUUGCACGAAACUCAUAGACAGUUGAUGGGAGAACUUUCUGGUCUAGACAUCAAAGAUCUACAAAAUAUAGAGAACCAACUGGAGACGAAUCUGGAUGGUAUCCGAAAGAGGAAGGAACAACUUCUACUCGAGGAAAUUCAAGAAUUACAUCGGAAGGGGAGCCUUGUUCACCAAGAAAAUAUGGAACUCUACAGGAAUAUAAACAUCAUGUGUCAAGAAAACACGGAAUUACACAGGAAGGUUGAUGCAACAAGGGAGGCAAAUGACAAGAAUUCAGUUAUGCCAGACGGAUUUAGUAAACCAGAGGAAGCAAAUGUACUCAUUCAUCUCCAACUGAGCCAACCACAUCAGCAAGCCGAAGGAUUACAACUGAGAGCUCCAAAGCUAGGAUUUCAACUGAACUGAGAAGACAUAAAGAUCAAGUACGGCUACUCAAUGUCUUCGUCACAGUUAUCACAAGACAUAUCAGCAUUUUGUUAAUUGGUGUAUAAGGAGCAGCAUUAUUUCUCAAAAUAGUAAUCCAUCUUGUGAAUUGACCAGAGUAACCAAUUACACAGUAAAGGUAGGAAACUCCUUGCAAAACGAAAGAAAAGAGGGAGAUUUCCGACAACAACAUAAUUUGUCCUUUCCAAUUUGCUCCAGAAUCGGCGCCCAAACCAGGCCCUACUGUCCAAUCCGGUCUGGCUCUAAUUUUUGUUCUUCCAAAACACAGAAAUAUCUAUCCCACCCAAAACAUCGUGGUUACAAAAAUCACCCUGUUUAUCCAAGAGAAGCAAAAUGGAAAGUUCAGAAGGGGAGGUAUCCUCCCCAAGAUACAUGCCAAUGAUUCAACCUACCAAAAGUUUUUGUCGCCUGAAGGGCAACCUUUACCCAAAACACUUGGAUCCCACCGGAGCAUGGAGUGGAGCUCUCACUCGCGGCCACAAAUUCUACGCCUGCAAGAAUAAAAUAAGGGCACGAAGACGCACUUCUUAGUUCGUCCUUUUAGCAAAUUACAUACGUAUCCCUCAUUUCGAUGUAAUUUUCUUAUUUAUCUAUAUAAAUAUAAAUUUAGGCAUACCAAACAUAAUUUGGUAUUAAAAUAGUUUACAUUUUUCAAUCAAAUUUGAUGUUGUUAAGAAUGGUGAAUCUGAAAUUUAUUGCUAGA